rnacentral:rRNA from 1 species
GAUGAACGCUGUCGGCGUGCCUAAUACAUGCAAGUCGAGCGAACAGACAAGGAGCUUGCUCCUUUGACGUUAGCGGCGGACGGGUGAGUAACACGUGGGUAACCUACCUAUAAGACUGGGAUAACUUCGGGAAACCGGAGCUAAUACCGGAUAAUAUUUCGAACCGCAUGGUUCGAUAGUGAAAGAUGGUUUUGCUAUCACUUAUAGAUGGACCCGCGCCGUAUUAGCUAGUUGGUAAGGUAACGGCUUACCAAGGCGACGAUACGUAGCCGACCUGAGAGGGUGAUCGGCCACACUGGAACUGAGACACGGUCCAGACUCCUACGGGAGGCAGCAGUAGGGAAUCUUCCGCAAUGGGCGAAAGCCUGACGGAGCAACGCCGCGUGAGUGAUGAAGGUCUUCGGAUCGUAAAACUCUGUUAUUAGGGAAGAACAUACAUGUAAGUAACUAUGCACGUCUUGACGGUACCUAAUCAGAAAGCCACGGCUAACUACGUGCCAGCAGCCGCGGUAAUACGUAGGUGGCAAGCGUUAUCCGGAAUUAUUGGGCGUAAAGCGCGCGUAGGCGGUUUUUUAAGUCUGAUGUGAAAGCCCACGGCUCAACCGUGGAGGGUCAUUGGAAACUGGAAAACUUGAGUGCAGAAGAGGAAAGUGGAAUUCCAUGUGUAGCGGUGAAAUGCGCAGAGAUAUGGAGGAACACCAGUGGCGAAGGCGACUUUCUGGUCUGUAACUGACGCUGAUGUGCGAAAGCGUGGGGAUCAAACAGGAUUAGAUACCCUGGUAGUCCACGCCGUAAACGAUGAGUGCUAAGUGUUAGGGGGUUUCCGCCCCUUAGUGCUGCAGCUAACGCAUUAAGCACUCCGCCUGGGGAGUACGACCGCAAGGUUGAAACUCAAAGGAAUUGACGGGGACCCGCACAAGCGGUGGAGCAUGUGGUUUAAUUCGAAGCAACGCGAAGAACCUUACCAAAUCUUGACAUCCUUUGACAACUCUAGAGAUAGAGCCUUCCCCUUCGGGGGACAAAGUGACAGGUGGUGCAUGGUUGUCGUCAGCUCGUGUCGUGAGAUGUUGGGUUAAGUCCCGCAACGAGCGCAACCCUUAAGCUUAGUUGCCAUCAUUAAGUUGGGCACUCUAAGUUGACUGCCGGUGACAAACCGGAGGAAGGUGGGGAUGACGUCAAAUCAUCAUGCCCCUUAUGAUUUGGGCUACACACGUGCUACAAUGGACAAUACAAAGGGCAGCGAAACCGCGAGGUCAAGCAAAUCCCAUAAAGUUGUUCUCAGUUCGGAUUGUAGUCUGCAACUCGACUACAUGAAGCUGGAAUCGCUAGUAAUCGUAGAUCAGCAUGCUACGGUGAAUACGUUCCCGGGUCU